rnacentral:rRNA from 1 species
UACGUAGGGACCGAGCGUUGUCCGGAAUCAUUGGGCGUAAAGAGCGUGUAGGCGGCUAUUUAAGUCCUGCGUGAAAUCCUGCGGCUCAACCGCAGACGGUCGUGGGAAACUGGAUGGCUAGAGUGCGGGAGAGGAGAGUGGAAUUCCCGGUGUAGCGGUGAAAUGCGCAGAUAUCAGGAGGAACACCUAUGGCGAAGGCAGCUCGCUGGGACGGUACUGACGCUGAGACGCGAAAGCGUGGGGAGCGAACAGG